GAUGAACGCUGGCGGCGUGCCUAAUACAUGCAAGUAGAACGCUGAAGGAAGGAGCUUGCUCUUUCCGGAUGAGUUGCGAACGGGUGAGUAACGCGUAGGUAACCUGCCUGGUAGCGGGGGAUAACUAUUGGAAACGAUAGCUAAUACCGCAUAACAGUAGAUGUUGCAUGAUAUCUACUUAAAAGGUGCAAUUGCACCACUACCAGAUGGACCUGCGUUGUAUUAGCUAGUUGGUGAGGUAACGGCUCACCAAGGCGACGAUACAUAGCCGACCUGAGAGGGUGAUCGGCCACACUGGGACUGAGACACGGCCCAGACUCCUACGGGAGGCAGCAGUAGGGAAUCUUCGGCAAUGGACGGAAGUCUGACCGAGCAACGCCGCGGGAGUGAAGAAGGGUUUCGGAUCGUAAAGCUCUGUUGUAAGAGAAGAACGAGUGUGAGAGUGGAAAGUUCGCACUGUGACGGUAUCUUACCAGAAAGAGACGGCUAACUACGUG
rnacentral:rRNA from 1 species